UACAGAGGUCUCAAGCGUUGUUCGGAUUCAUUGGGCGUAAAGGGUGCGUAGGCGGCGUGGUAAGUCGGAUGUGAAAUCUCGGAGCUUAACUCCGAAACUGCAUUCGAUACUGCCGUGCUUGAGGACUGGAGAGGAGACUGGAAUUUACGGUGUAACGGUGAAAUGCGUAGAUAUCGUAAGGAAGACCAGUGGCGAAGGCGGGUCUCUGGACAGUUCCUGACGCUGAGGCACGAAGGCCAGGGGAGCAAACGGG
rnacentral:rRNA from 1 species